AACUGGCGGCCUUUCUAAAGUUAAGCAAGUCACGUCAGGCUAUCGGGGAAGCUAAGGUCAACCUCGACUCUCUAGAGAACCAGCCUGGCUCCAAGGGACCUCAGACACCGUAAGUUUACGGGAGCAGCGUAGGCCUGUCUCCUGACUGCUGGGGUGUUCCUGAGGGACUCUAAAGGCGAAGUUUGGAAGCUGGGCCGUGGGCUGAGCUGCCGGGAUGCCUAAUUUCCAGGUCCACCGUGCCGGCCUUCUGGUUCAAGUGGGCGAAGAUUUCUGCCUAUAGAGACACUGGAUCUCCAGAUAUUAAGAAUAACGAUAAAGGGAAAGCUGUGAGGCGAAGCAACAGGGUGCCAAUCUAGAAGCUGGAGAACCCGGGUUUGAGUCCAACCUGUGCUGUUAGCCUCCCGUUUAACCAUGGACGAGAAAACUGAGACCCUGAGAAGUUAAGUAGCCAGUCCAAGAUUGCAGAGAAAAUCACUGAUGAAGCAGGGUCUGAAAUGCCGUAAAGGCCUAUAAAAAUGAGCAGAAUUUUGCUGCGCAAAAUCAGCUGACCGCCAUCUGUUUUGGGAAUCUGACAGUGGAGUGAGAAUGGGACCCCACCAACCUAGGAUCCUGCUGGCAUGGCUGGCCUUGUCCGGGUAAUGCCGAUGCAUGGACAGAGAACACCACCCUGUCACUGGCUGAGAUGAUCGCCCGGCAAGCUCACCCCAAUAACAUCACCAACAGCACAGCCUGCUGGGUCUGCCAGCACCUUCCACAUCACUAUGGGCAGGAUGCCAGCUUCUGGCCCUUCUCCUCACGUUGGAGGAGUGGACAACGGGGUGGAGGAUUGUUACGGUAUCUCAUCAGCCUUAAUGGGGGCUGCAUGGUGGGAUUUGGAGGUUACAUCCCCACCAGACAGUAUCCUUUGUGAUCACAUCAUGAGGGAUAAUCAUUCACUGGGACAGUACGAUCGGUGCUGGUUCACACUCACCCUGAGUGACAGGCAGCAUAUGUCCAAAUGUUGUGGUACCUCCCAUAACACCACGUUGCCGGGAGUAGGGGAGAUUGUCAGAGCCCGAGAGACUUUUGAAACCUACCAGGGUGACUUCACUAUGUGUGUGCAAAUUGAUGGGAUGAUUUCAAACGUGACCAACUGUGCCUUAGGGACUUUCAACCAACAGCCUAGUCCAAGCCAGCUGUUUCGGGGUGCUGACCUCAGUACCAUCAUGGUUAAGGAUGUCUUCACAACUUCCUUCUCUGGAGAGAAGUAGGAGCAGGAAUGGGCCCUACCUCCCUACCUAUUCCUGGUGUGUGGGACUUUGGUGUACUCUUUCCUCCCGCUUAAUGCAGCAGACAUAUACGCACUUGCCCACCUGGUUCCCUCCACCCAUACUAGCCUCACUCUGUACUGGCCAUUCCCCCAGAAUUUGGAGCUUCAUAACGACACCCUCCAAAGCCACAGUUGCUGGUGUCCUCAGGGUCCUUUUCCUGGGGAUCAUCUCUAUUUAUUGGACAGAGUGAAUUACACGUGCCCUGUGAAACCUUACAGACAACCUGAUGCAGGUGGUCAGUGUGAGCAAGGAUGUGGUCACCACCCUCCAAGAGGAAGUGUGGGGACUGUCGUGGGUGACCCUUCUUAAUACGCAUGUCUUGGAAAUAUUCCUGGCUAGCCGGGAAGAUGUGUGUGUGUGUUCUCCUCAACCAAUCAUAUGGCAUAUACAUGGACGAAAAUGAGAGGGUGACCCAGGACGCUGAUUAACUUAGUCAGAUAAUGCUCUCUCUCCAUCACACUGUCAUCCAUCAUCCGGGAAUGGGUUCAUCUGGGAAUCGGCAUGGCGAGAGAGAGAGAGAGAGAGAGAGAGAGAGAGAGAGAGAGAUCAGGGACACAAAGGCUCAGCUUUUUACAAAAUUUAUUCUGUGAGGCAAGUUGAAUUAUUUGAUUAUUUUGGUCACAGUGAUUUGAAUUAUUUGAUUAUUUUGGAUGUGGUGAAAUGAACCUCUCCUAUGGGAGGAGUAUGAUUAUUUAAUGAUAUUAGAACUUCCCUAUUGUGAGGAAUAUACUUAUGUGUUACUCGCAUGUGGCAAAAAGCUCAGGUCCCACCAAGGAGGAAUUCACUUAUGUUUUGUUCGCAAGUGGUGAGGUGGCUACCUCCCACCAAUGAGCACUUCCCACUUGAGCACUUCCCACUUGGGAGGAAUCCAUUUAUGCUUUACACACCUGUGGCAAAGCACUUGGCUUUUGGCCCCACGAGAGUUCAGCAGGACAUUCACCCAUCCCACAGCUCUUCCCUCAGUGCAGACAGAGCGGGCAUCCCAUGCUCUGGGCAGAGGUGACCCGCAACCGGCUGCUACCAAUCUCGAUCCGUUGCACAGAAGGUUAGAGGCCGCAAGGCAUUUAUUACCUAUGCUCCUAGGCCAUUCCAGCUUCCCACCUCAGUUUAUUCAAUCUCAGCCUUCCCCCCUCCUCCAUACCUAAUUGGUUUUGGCAUGGGAGGAGAGUCAACUUUUGUAUACCUGGAUUGGGCUGUCAAUCUAGAAGUUUUAGUUGUGGGAGUGGUAUCCCACCUGCACUUCCAAGUUCUGCCUUGCUGGCUUGGACAAUCACGAGAUAGCAUUUGACCUUGAGUUGAGAGGUACUCCGGGUUCACCUUGGGACACACAAGAGGAAUUGAGUUUGGACCUCCUCUCCAGAAAUGCCUGGUGGCUCCUGGGCCUGCCAAAGUGGGCCCAAUCAUUUGUUCAUCUUCUUUUUAUGUUUAUUCUGCUAGUUGCUUUGCUUGUCUGCAUGUGGAAGCUGCUUAAAUGCCUUUGGAAUGCAGGUGAACCUGCUCUAAGAGUAACAGUGACGGAGCCAAACCCACUCCUACCCUCCGUCUCCAGACCUAACCAUUGAUGGAGCUGUGGGCAGUGGUGUAUCCACCAGGUGGCAUGUCCCAUGAGAACCAGUCGACCCCACUUUGGCUGUAUUGUUAUUUCAGGGCAAGUUAAAGAAAUGCAGAAGCUCAAUGUACAGGAGAGUAGGGAAUACCAGAAUGUCUGUCAAUGCCACGCCCACGGUCUUUUAUCUGGGAAUGACAGUUGGGGCAGCUGGUGUGAUGGCCUGGCUAAGGUGUCAGGGCAGCUGGUGCGAUGACCCCGUGGAGUUGUCAGGACAGCAGGGUCAGUGGCCCAGUGGAGGUGUUGGGGUGGGUGGUGGUGGUGCCCCAGCAGAGGUGUCAGUGUGGCCGUCAUGGUAGAUCAGCAGGGGUGUCCAUUUCAAGUUCUUAGUACAGUGCUCUUCACGCAGUAAGCACUCAAUAAAUACUAUUGAAUGAAUGAAAGUGUCGGGGCAGGUGGUGCUGGUGGCCCGGUGGGGUGAGUCAGGGCAGUGGCAGUGAUAAGCUAGAGGACGUCCUGGGGUGAGUGGUGCUUGUUACUUAGCAGAGGUCUUGGAGUGCCUGGUAUGGUGGCUGGUGGAUGUAUGAGAGUGGCAGGUGUGGUGGCCCAGUGGAGGUCCAGGGGUAACAUAGAUGGCAGCAGUGGCCUGGCAUAGGUGUCAGGUCGGGUGGCCCAUCGGAGGUAGGUGUUAGGAAGUGAUAGGGUGGGUGGUAGGUGGCUUGGCAGAUGUGUUGGGACCAGAGAACCCAGUAGCCCAUUGGAGGUGUCAGGACAGGUAUUAGGAGGCCCGGCUGAGGUGUUGACGUGGGUGACAGUGAUGGUCUGGCAGAGGUGUCGGGAUGGGGGGCACCAGUGACCCAGCAGAUGUGUCAUGACAGGUGGACCCGGUGACCCAGUGAAGGUGUUGGGGCAGGUGGUGGCAGUGGCAGAGAGGAGGUAUUGGGUCCGCUGGUCUGAUGGCCCAGUGGAGUUGUCAAACUGGGUGGUUGUGGUGGACCAGCACAGGUGUCAGGGAGGGUGGCACCCCUGACUCAAUGGUGGUGUCAGGGGGCUGGGGUGGUGGCCCGUUGGAAGUGUCAGGGUGGCUAGUGCCAGAGGCCCAGCAGAGUUGUUGGAGGUGGUGCAGUGGAGUUGUUGGGGAGCCUGCUGUCAAUGCCCUGUGGAGGUGUCAGAAUGGGUGUCGGCCUUGGCCCGGUGGAGGCAUUGGGGCAACUGGUUCAGUGACUUUCGCUUUGUCCCGGAGGAGGUAUCAGGGAGGGUGGCAAGAUGACCUGCCAACUGAUGGUGCUGUUGGGGGUGGGUGGCCUGUUGACUCUGCGGCACCCAGAAGAAGGUGUCAGGGACUGGUGACUGUGCCAGAGGCCCAGAGGAAGCGUCAGAGAGGUUAGCAUGAUGACUGUGCCAGGGCCUGGUAGUGGUCUUAGGCCAGUCAGCUCAGUCUCUCCCCCACAAGAUCAGCUGUGGUGAUCAGUGGGCAGUGUAGUCACCAGAUCCAGGGACAGGCUCUUCCUGGCCCAGUUUGGUCCUGUAGGAUGGAUCAGAGGAGGCUUGGAGAUGUCUCUGGGGCAGUGUGGCUCUUGUUGCUGGUGACGAGGGAGCCCAUCCUCCUCCCUCUCCUUGAUGUUCUCCAUGCUGUGGGGCCGCUUUCUGGACUGGGAAAGGCUCUGUAGCGUUGAUUUCACCUUAUGACCUGAGUCACAAAGGAGCUCCUGCAUCUAGGCACUGUCAUUAUCUCCGGCCCAAACUGGCCCUUUUUGCGGUUCUUGAACUUGUAACAAGGGGUCCUAUCCCCCUCCCCCUUCUCAAUGUUCACCCUGCUGUGGUGCCACUUUGUGGGUCGGAGAGGGGCGGGUGACAACUCCCUGGCCUGGGAAGGAUGAGCCAACAGUCUAAAACAGCGAUACGCCCCUACGAGUGUGAAUGUCUCACCGUGCCACUGGAGUCCUGGCUCCCAUCUCUGCUGGUGGCCCAGGAAAGGUGUUAUCUUAGGGGGUGGGGUGCCCAGGCAGAUAUGUUGGGAAAGGUGGGCCUGGCAGCCCAGUGGAGGUGGCAAUAUGGCUGGUGCCGGUGGCCUGGAAGAUGUGUCUGGACAGGUUGUUGCCGUGACACAGCUGUGUCAAGAAGGUAGAUUUGACAGCCCGGUGUAUGUGUUGGAGAGGGUGACUGUAAUGGGCCAGCGGAGUUGUUGAGAAGGGUCAUGGUGGUGGCCUAGUGGAGGUUUUGGGGAGGCUAGUGUGGUGGCCUGCUGGAGUUGUCACAACAGGUGAUGGCGGUAGUCUGGUGAAAGCCAGGAUGGGGGCCCCGGGUGGCCCGUCAGCAGGAUCGGGCGGCUGGUGCUGGUGGCCCAGCAAAGUUGACUGGGUGGAUGGCAGUGUUGGAAGAGUGUAAGUUUAGGGUGGAUGGUGCCAGUGAAUUGGCAGAGGUUUCAAGGCUGCCGACGUGGUGGCCCGGCAGAGGUGUCAGGACAGCUAGCCACUAUGGCCUGGCAGUGAUAUCAGGGUGGUUGGUGGCAGUGGCCCAGUGGAGGUGUCGGUGCAAGUGGCACCACUGGCCCAUCGGUGGGGUCAGGGGUGCUGGGGUGAUGGGCGGUGGGGGUGGGGAGUGGGUGGUGCCAGUGACCCAGGAGAGUUGUAGAAGAAGCUGGUGUAGUGGCCCUGCAGAGGCAUAAGAAUGGGUGGUGAUAUUGGCCCGGCGGAGGUGUCUUGCUCCCAGUGGCCCAAGGGAGGUAUUAGAGACGGUGACGGUGGCUGAACGUGCCCUACAUUGGUGGUGUCAGGGAAGAAUGGCACGGUGACUGGGCCAGUAGCCCAGAGGAGGUGUUGGUGAGGUUGACAUGGUGACCGUGCUGGUGGCCCAGUGGUGGUCUCAGGCUGGUCAGUUUGGUCUCUCCCCAAUAUUCAGAAGUGGCAAUCAAUGGACAAGGUAGUGUCCAGAUCUAGGGACAGGUCCUCCUUCCUGCGCCCCUGUUUGGUCCAGUGGGAUGGAUCAGAGGAGGGUCGACGAUGUCCCUCUAGGGCAGCGUGGAUCUUGGUGCUGGUGAUGAGGUAGCCACUGUGGCUGUGAACUGCUGCUCCCGCUGGCUUGACCUGAUGUCGGGCAGGACGCUCCAGUUGGCAUCUCCUGAACUUUUUGCAUGGCAGCCCAUCCUUUUCCUCCUGGUUGAUAUUCAGUGUGCGGUGAGGCCUCUUCCUGAUUCGGGGAGAGGCGGAUGGCAUUAGAACGGCCAAGGCCUGGGUAGGCUGGAUCACCCGAGGGGCUCUAUAACAGUGAUAUCCCCUUAUGACUCAAAUAACAAAUGAGCUCCUAUGUCCAUGCAGUCAUUCUUGCUGGCCCAAGCCGGCCCAUUUUGCAGCUCUUAAAUUUUGGGCAUGGCAGCCCGACCUCAUCUCCCUUCUUGACUUUCACCCUUCCAUGGAACCGCUUCCCAAUUUGGGAAGGGGUGGGUGGCAGCGCCUUGUCCUGGGAAGGCUGCACCAGUGGAGGGUCUCCAAAGCACCAAUAGGCCCCUUCGAGUGUGUAUGUCUCCCCGUGUCACUGGAGACCAGGCUCCCUUCUCUGCUGGUGGUCCAGCAGAGAUUUCAACGUGGAAGGUGAGGUGGUCUGGCAGAUAUGUCGGAACAGGUGACCCUGGUAGCUCAGCAGAGGUGUCAAGGGGGCUGGUGUGGCGGCCCAGCAUAAGUUUUGGGGUGGGUGGUGCCGGUGUCCCAGAGGUGUUGUCGGGGCAGGGCACAGAGGUGGCUCAGUGGAAAUGUUAGGCGGUUGGCCCUCGUGCCCAUCCAAGAUGUCGGGACAGCUGGUCCCAGAAACCUGGAGGAAGUGUUAGGCAGGUGGGGUGGUGUCCCAUUGGAGGUGUCAGGAAGGGAGGCUCCAGUAUCUGAGUGGAGGUGUCUGCCAUCCACUGGUGGUGUUGGGGGAGGGUGGCAUGGAAACUCUGCCGGCACCCAGGAGUAGGUUUUUGGGAGAGUGGCAUACUGACUGUUUUGAAAACCCAGAGGAGAUGUCGGGGAGUUGACAUGAUGACCGUGCUGGUGGCCCAGAGGUGGUCUCAGUCCAGCUAGCAUGGUCUCUGCCCCACGGUCAGCCGUGGAGAUCAGUGGGCAGUGUAGUCACCAGAUCCAGGGGCAGGCUCUCCUUCCUGUCCCAGUUUGGUCCUGCGGGAUGCAUCGGAGUAGGUUCGGAGAUGCCUCUACAGGGUAGUGUGGCUCUUGGUUCUGGUGAUGAGGGAGCCACUGCUGCUGGGGGUAGCUGCUCCCAUUGGCCCGACCUGACGUCGGACAAGGCCCUCCAUUUGGCAGCUCCUGAACUCUUUUCAUGGUGGCCCAUCCUCUUCCUUCCAGGUGAUAUUCACUAUUCUGUGAGACUUCUACCUGAUUUGGGGAUGGGUGGGUGGCACUGGAACUGGCACUGCCAUGGCCCAGGGGUGCCAGACCAGCCGAGAGGCUCUGUAACAGUCAUAUCCCCUUAUGACCUGGGUCACAAAAGGGCUUCUGUGUCCAUUUGCUGUCAUUCUCACCGGCCCAUGCUGGACUUUUUUGCAGUUCUUGAACUUUUUGGAAGGCGGCCCACCCUCUUCCCUCCCCUUGAUUUCACCAUGCUGUGGAGCCGCUUCCUGGGUCGGGGAGAGGUGGAUGGCACUGACACUGGCACUGCCACUGCCAUGGACUCUGGGGGCAGGACCACCCGAGGGUUUCUAUAGCAGCGAUAUCCCCAUAUGGCCCGGGUGACAUAAGAGCACCUGCAUCUGUGCGGGGUCAUUAUCACCGGCCCGAGCUGGCACUUUUUGUGGCUCUUGAACUUUUAACAAUAGGGCCCAUCCUCCUCUGCGGGUUGGAGAGGAAAGGGUGGCAGGAUCCUGGCCUGGGAAGGAUGAGCCAGUGGAAUGUCUCUAAAGCAGUGAUACACCCCUACGAGUGUGAUUGUCUCACCGUGCCACUGGAGUCCUGGCUCCUCUCUCCGCUAGUGGCCCAGCAGAGGUGUCAGCAAGGGAGGUGUGGUGGCCUGGUGAAUGUGUUGGGAAGGUGGCCUUGGUGGCCCAGGGGAGGUGUCAGAGCAGCUGGUGCCAACAUCCUGGCAGAUGAGGUGGGUUGUUGCUGUGGCACAGCUGAGGUGUCAGGAAGGCUGAAUUGCCAGCCUGGUAUGUGUGUUGGAGCGGGUGGCUGCGGUGACCCAGAGGAGGUGUCGGGGAAGCUGUCAUGAUGACCCUGCUGGCGGCCCAGUGGUAGCCGGCCAGUGUGGUCUCUCCCUAAUAUUUAACAAGGGGGAUGAUGGGCAGCGUAGUUUCCAGAUCUAGGGUCAGGCCUUCCUUCCUACCUCUGGGACAGUGGAAUGGAUCAGAGGAGGGUCGACGAUGUCACCCUGGGACAGCGUGGAUCUUGGUGCUGGUGAUGAGGGAGCCACCGUGGCUGUGGACUGCCACUCCCGCUGGCCUGACCCGAUGUCGGGCAGGACGCUCCAUUUGGCAGCUCUUGAACUUUUUGCAUGGUGGCCCAUCGUUUACCCCCCGUUGACGAGGGGAGGUUGGCACUAGCACUGCUAGGCCUGGGUGGGCUGGACCACCUGAAGGGCUCUGUAAUAGAGAUAUUCCCUUAUGACCCAGGUAACAGAGGACCUCCUGUGUCCACCCACAGUCUUUCUCGCCAGCCCAAGCCGGCACUCUUUAUGGCUCUCAAACUUUAUGCAUGGCAGACCAUCCUCCUCCCUGUUCUCGACUUUCACUAUGCUGUGGAGCCAAUUCCCA